GACGAACGCUGGCGGCGUGCCUAAUACAUGCAAGUAGAACGCUGAAGGAGGAGCUUGCUUCUCUGGAUGAGUUGCGAACGGGUGAGUAACGCGUAGGUAACCUGCCUGGUAGCGGGGGAUAACUAUUGGAAACGAUAGCUAAUACCGCAUAAGAGUAGAUGUCGCAUGACAUUUGCUUAAAAGGUGCAAUUGCAUCACUACCAGAUGGACCUGCGUUGUAUUAGCUAGUUGGUGAGGUAACGGCUCACCAAGGCAACGAUACAUAGCCGACCUGAGAGGGGGGACGGCCACACUGGGACUGUGACACGGCCCAGACUCCUACGGGCGGCAGCGAUAGGGAAUCUUCGGCAAUGGGCGGAAGUCUGACCGAGGAACGCCGCGUGGGUGAAGAAGGGUUUCGGGUCGUAAAGCUCUGUUGUAGGAGAAGAACGAGUGUGAGAGUGGAAAGUUCACGCUGUGACGGUAGCUUACCAGAAAGGGACGGCUAACUACGUG
rnacentral:rRNA from 1 species